rnacentral:rRNA from 1 species
AUUGAACGCUGGCGGCGCGCCUAAUACAUGCAAGUCGAGCGAGAAGACGUAGCAAUACGUUUGUAAAGCGGCGAACGGGUGAGGAAUACAUGGGUAACCUACCCUCGAGUGGGGAAUAACUAGCCGAAAGGUUAGCUAAUACCGCGUACGCUUCUUGGACUUCGGUUCAGGGAGGAAAGCGAUGCCGAGGGUAUCGCGCUCUUGGAUGGGCUCAUGUCCUAUCAGCUUGUUGGGAGGUAACGGCUCACCAAGGCUUCGACGGGUAGCUGGUCUGAGAGGACGAUCAGCCACACUGGCACUGCGACACGGGCCAGACUCCUACGGGAGGCAGCAGUAAGGAAUAUUGCGCAAUGGGCGAAAGCCUGACGCAGCGACGCCGCGUGGGGGA